UUUCACUAAAAUAAAGUACUAUAUACAAUUCCCGAACUUAUAAGAGCUAUUAAUACUGUUUAUUUUAGUGACUUAAAAGGCAGGGCUGUGGUAUCAUCCCAACUAAAGCUAUUAAUAGUGGUGAAACGUCUUCACUUAUAAAGUUAACUGGAUAGCAAUUAAAUACAUUGAGUGUAUAUUUCAAAACUGUUAAGUAAUAAGAUUUAGCGGAAGAAAAUUUAUCUAUGCAUGAAUGAUCUUUAUUAUCAAAAACAUAAGGAGGAAUAAAAUUUUUAAAAAUUAAGUUAGUUAACAUAUUUUUUAAUAAUUACUUAAUAGGAUUAAUAGUUUAUAUCCUAUCUGAAAAUGUGAAAAUUAGUAGGUAUGAUAAAAUUUAAAAAGGAACUCGGCAAAUCGUCUUCUUGCCUGUUUAUCAAAAACAUAGCCGCAUGGCAUUUAUAUGUGGUGCAAUCUGCCCAGUGAUAAGUUAAACGGCCGCAGUACUUUGACUGUGCAAAGGUAGCAUAAUAAUUUGGCUUUUAAUUGAGGUCUGGUAUCAACGAAUUUACAAGGAGAGACUGUCUCUUAAAUUUUAUACUUAAAUUAUUUAAUAAGUGAAAAUGCUUAUAAGAUAAAAAAUAGACGAGAAGACCCUUAGAAUUUUAAGAAAUAAACCAUAAAGUAGGGUAAAUGCUUUUUGUUGGGGCAACAUAUUUUCAUAAAAACAAAGUAGUUAUAAUAGAAUUUACCGAUAAUAUAUUAAUACAAAAAUUACCUUAGGGAUAACAGCAUAAUUUUAAUAUUAAAAGUUUGUGACCUCGAUGUUGGACUAGGGACGCCAAGCACGAGACGUACUUGACGUAUGUUCUGUUCGAACAUUAAUUACCUACAUGAUCUGAGUUCAGACCGG
rnacentral:rRNA from 1 species